rnacentral:rRNA from 1 species
GAUGAACGCUGGCGGCGUGCCUAAUACAUGCAAGUCGAGCGAACAGACGAGGAGCUUGCUCCUCUGACGUUAGCGGCGGACGGGUGAGUAACACGUGGAUAACCUACCUAUAAGACUGGGAUAACUUCGGGAAACCGGAGCUAAUACCGGAUAAUAUAUUGAACCGCAUGGUUCAAUAGUGAAAGACGGUUUUGCUGUCACUUAUAGAUGGAUCCGCGCCGCAUUAGCUAGUUGGUAAGGUAACGGCUUACCAAGGCAACGAUGCGUAUCCGACCUGAGAGGGUGAUCGGCCACACUGGAACCGAGACACGGUCCAGACUCCUACGGGAGGCAGCAGUAGGGAAUCUUCCGCAAUGGGCGAAAGCCUGACGGAGCAACGCCGCGUGAGUGAUGAAGGUCUUCGGAUCGUAAAACUCUGUUAUUAGGGAAGAACAAAUGUGUAAGUAACUAUGCACGUCUUGACGGUACCUAAUCAGAUAGCCACGGCUAACUACGUG